AAAUAAAAAGUAAAGAGAUGGAAGCAAAAAAAAGAGAUGAGGAGUUACGUGCCAGAAAUGAAAGUAAUAUGAUUGCUACAUUACAACAACAGCUACAACAGCAACAAGGCAUGUUUAUGCAAAUGCAGCAGCAAAAUAAACUGUUACUGCAAUUGUUAAAUAACAAUACAAAGAACGAAGAUUUACAUUGAAAUUGUUUACAAUGUAUACUACAG